rnacentral:lncRNA from 1 species
CACCCACGUUUUUGACGCUGCCUGGCAGCUUCUGGUGCUGCUGUGCUUACUGGGAGGAAGAGGCGGGUCCUAGAUGGCUGGCGCUUGCGCAGUCGGCCUGGUGGAGAGCAAGACGGUAUUAUCUGCUGGUGGCGGCAUGUUGUUGGCUGCCGGAAUUCUCGGCUGAUGGCAGCGUUUUCGGCAGCUGUACUGGCCCAGAGAGUGCGGGAGUGAAGACAUUUUCAUGGAUAUGAAAUUGGACACAGAGUUGACAGAGAAGUUCAGCUGCUGGGUAAUCUUCCAUUUCUGGGGACUGCUCUGCUUUCUUGUAAAACCCAGCUGUGCCUUCACCCUGGACAGGAGCAACUGACAUUUUCAUGGAUAUGAAACUGGACACCGAGUUGACGCUGAAUUUCAGCUGCUGGGUAAUCUUCCAUUUCUGGAACCUCCUUGGCUUCCUGGUAAAACCCAGCUGUGCCUUCACCCUGGA